CGCUGACAUAGUUUUAUGAAUGCAAACAGCCAAGGAGAGCAGAUGUUGAGUGGUUGCCAGAGUGAAAUGAGGAAGCCCUGCUGCCAGCUUCCCACCAAAAAGCAGGCUCCGGCCCUGAACGCAGGAGAGUUGCUAAAGAAGUUGCUCACAGAGGCGGGAGAGAGCAGGCUACUGGUUUCCUUCAAAAUGGAAUAGGAAACAGAAAACGUGCAUCAUUUCUUCGCACUUGAAUCAGCAACAUGACACAGGACUUUGGCAUCAGACUACUAUCACACCAAAAAAAGAGGCUUCACUUGGAGUGCUGCCACUGGAUGGGGCCUGACUUGUUUAUCCGGAAAGAAGUGACUUCCCUGGGAAGAAGGUUGCAUUUGUGAAAGCUUGUGCAGCAUUUCAAGGCUGCAUUCAGGUAUCAGAAAACUGAAGCCCCUACUCAAAAACCUUACUAGUCAAGCCCAUGCCUAUGUGUGCACUUAUACAAUCAUUCUGCCUGAAUUUUUCCCUCACCAUGAGAAGCUUUUGUUCAGCUUUCCUCAAUGAAGACAAAAUAAUAAUAAUUAAAAUAUCAGUAGCUAAUAUCUGUAGGGUACUUACUAGUGCCAGUGCUGCCUAAACACUAGUUUAAUCUUCACAAGUCCCCUAAAAGAGAUACAUAUGGUUAUUGACUCCAUUUAACAGAUUUGGAAACUGAGUAUAGUUUAGUCUUUGGCAGAGGGCAAAUUCAUACCGUGUAUAGGUUAAUAAGCGGCA
rnacentral:lncRNA from 10 species